GACGAACGCUGGCGGCGUGCCUAAUACAUGCAAGUCGAACGCAGUGGGGCCGGGUGAGUAACACGUGGGUAACCUCCCAUCAGAGGGGAUAACACUUGGAAACAGGUGCUAAACCGAUACUGAUGUCUGGACCCGAGGUGCAUUAGCUAGUUGGUGAGGGAACGGCUCACCCAGGCCACGAUGCAUAGCCGACCUUGUAGGGUGAUCGGCCACACCGGCACUGAGACACGGCCCAGACUCCAACGGGAGGCAGCAGUAGGGAAUCUUCGGCAAUGGACGAAAGUCUGACCGAGCAACGCCGCGUGAGUGAAGAAGGUUUUCGGAUCGUAAAACUCUGUUGUUAGAGAAGCGGUAUCUAACCAGAAAGCCACGGCUAACUACGUGCCAGCAGCCGCGGUAAUUC
rnacentral:rRNA from 1 species